rnacentral:rRNA from 1 species
AACGGGGAUUAAUACUCCAUGGUAUCAUUCUUUCGCAUGUUAGAAUGAUUAAAGAAUUUCGGUAUGAGAUGGGCAUGCGUCCCAUUAGCUAGUUGGUGAGGUAACGGCUCACCAAGGCGACGAUGGGUAGGGGGCCUGAGAGGGUGGUCCCCCACACUGGUACUGAGACACGGACCAGACUCCUACGGGAGGCAGCAGUGAGGAAUAUUGGUCAAUGGAGGCAACUCUGAACCAGCCAUGCCGCGUGAAGGAUGACGGCCCUAUGGGUUGUAAACUUCUUUUGAAUAGGAAGAAACUUAUCUACGUGUAGAUAACUGACGGUACUAUUAGAAUAAGGAUCGGCCAACUCCGUGCCAGCAGCCGCAGUAAUACGGAGGAUCCAAGCGUUAUCCGGAUUCAUUGGGUUUAAAGGGUCCGUAGGCGGGUCUUUUAAGUCAGUGGUGAAAGCCGACAGCUCAACUGUCGAACUGCCAUUGAUACUGGAGACCUUGAGUACAAAUGAAGUAGGCGGAAUGAGUCAUGUAGCGGUGAAAUGCAUAGA